rnacentral:rRNA from 1 species
AACACGUAAGCAACCUACCCUAAAGACGAGGAUAACCAUUGGAAACAGUGGCUAAGACUGGAUAGGAAGAUAAAAGGCAUCUUUUAUCUUUUAAAAGACCUAGUAAUAGGUAUGCUUUAGGAGGGGCUUGCGCCAUAUUAGUUAGUUGGUAGGGUAAUGGCCUACCAAGACGAUGAUGUGUAGCUGGACUGAGAGGUUGAACAGCCACAUUGGGACUGAGACACGGCCCAAACUCCUACGGGAGGCAGCAGUAGGGAAUUUUCGGCAAUGGAGGAAACUCUGACCGAGCAACGCCGCGUGAAUGACGAAGUACUUCGGUAUGUAAAGUUCUUUUAUCAAGGAAGAAAAGCAAAUGGCGAACCAUUUGUUUGCCGGUACUUGAUGAAUAAGCCCCGGCUAAUUAUGUGCCAGCAGCCGCGGUAAGACAUAAGGGGCAAGUGUUAUCCGGAAUUAUUGGGCGUAAAGGGUGCGUAGGCGGUCUAGUAAGUCAGUGGUGUAAUGGCAACGCUUAACGUUGUCCGGCUAUUGAAACUGCUAAACUUGAGUUAGAUAGAGGCGAGUGGAAUUCCAUGUGUAGCGGUAAAAUGCGUAAAUAUAUGGAGGAACACCAGAGGCGUAGGCGGCUCGCUGGGUCUUAACUGACGCUGAGGCACGAAAGCGUGGGGAGCAAACAGGAUUAGAUACCCUGGUAGUCCACGCCGUAAACGAUGAGUACUAAGUGUCGGGUUAAACCGGUACUGAAGUUAACACAUUAAGUACUCCGCCUGAGUAGUACGUACGCAAGUAUGAAACUUAAAGGAAUUGACGGGACUCCGCACAAGCGGUGGAUCAUGUUGUUUAAUUCGAAGAUACCCGAAAAACCUUACCAGGUCUUGACAUGUUUUUGCAAAAUGAUAGUAAUAUCGUGGAGGUUACCAGAAACACAGGUGGUGCAUGGUUGUCGUCAGCUCGUGUCGUGAGAUGUUAGGUUAAGUCCUAAAACGAGCGAAACCCUUAUCGUUAGUUGCCAGCACGUUAUGGUGGGGACUUUAACGAGACUGCCAAUGAUAAAUUGGAGGAAGGUGAGGAUCACGUCAAAUCAGCAUGCCCCUUAUGACCUGGGCUACAAACGUGAUACAAUGGCUGUUACAAAGGGUAGCUGAAACGCAAGUUCUUGGCCAAUCCCCAAAAACAGUCCCAGUCCGGAUUGAAGUCUGCAACUCGACUUCAUGAAGUUGGAAUCGCUAGUAAUCGCGAAUCAGCAUGUCGCGGUGAAUACGUUCUCGGGGUUUGUACACACCGCCCGUCAAACCACGAAAGUUGGCAAUACCCCAAAACGGUAGCCUAACUCGUU